rnacentral:rRNA from 1 species
GCGUCUGAUUAGCUAGUUGGUAAGGUAACGGCUUACCAAGGCGACGAUCAGUAGCCGACCUGAGAGGGUGAUCGGCCACAUUGGAACUGAGACACGGUCCAAACUCCUACGGGAGGCAGCAGUGGGGCAUAUUGCACAAUGGGCGAAAGCCUGAUGCAGCAACGCCGCGUGAGUGAUGAAGGCCUUCGGGUCGUAAAACUCUGUCCUCAAGGAAGAUAAUGACGGUACUUGAGGAGGAAGCCCCGGCUAACUACGUGCCAGCAGCCGCGGUAAUACGUAGGGGGCUAGCGUUAUCCGGAUUUACUGGGCGUAAAGGGUGCGUAGG